CUCGAAAUUCAAAAUCUGAGCAAACAAGUACGAAUUGCAAAUUAGGGUUCCAAACUAGGAGGCGAUGACGAUCUCUCCUCCCUUCACUCAAAAAUCUCAAUUCUUCAAUUCUCUCUCAUCUUCGAUCUCAUCAUCAGGUGAGAAGAAGAAAAAGAUGACGUCUGGGUUUUCCGGAGAUGUGUUAUACGACGGAGGUGGUGCAGGGACCGGCGGAGGGAGGGCGGAGAUGGCGACUUUCCGACAACAACAGCAACAAUAACAACAUCAAAAAUCGUGAAUAUUAACACAAAGGGAGGUGAAGAAGGAAAUGGCAGGGAGGAGUAGAGUGUAUGAUCCGAGCAAGCUGCAUUUGAAGAGGGAGCUGGCCCAAAUUUGAAAGGCGGCACGGGUAUUGCGUGAUCCUGGUACCACUCACUUCCUCUUGGAAAUCACCUUUAGAUUUAAUUAUACCAGUGCAUAACCUGUAUAUUUGAUUCUUCGGCGCCGGCGAUCAAAUUCCUUGGUUGUUCCUGUUGUUCGCAGGUUGUUUCAAGUGUUGAUUUUCUUCUGUUUUUUCCCAGCAACAGCUGAUGUGUUCUGCUGCAUGUUUUGUUUGUUAGGGUGCGGUGUGCACCCUUCUUUGUUGAUUGAUGUUUCUUUCCUUGAGCUGGAGGGAUGAAUGAAAGCAUUGGGAUGAGACUUAAUUUGAGUAGACUUGCUGUUGAUUAGUCAUUUAAGUUUUUGCCUUAAUUUUUGAUGGGAUGAGAAUGAUGGAGAAAUAUGUAAUAGUAAAAAAUAUUUUGAAGUCUCAGAGCCUCUAUUUGUGUUAUCUCUACUUUUUCGAAUUUAACAUGACAAUACUUUCUGCAAGUCUCAGGGCCUCUAUCUGUGUUUUCUCUAUUUGUGUGCUUGCACCUUUUUAGCUUUUGAAAUU